rnacentral:lncRNA from 1 species
AAAAAAGGAGGAAAAAAAAAAAAAACUUUGUCCGGCCUACUGAGCAUGCCCGACUUCCUUCCCUCCGUCCCCCGCCCCCCCCCAAGUCCCUCCCGGCUUCCACUCCCCGAGGAGCCCCGGAGCGGAGUUGUUUGCGCCGCGUUUAACUCCGGAUCCUCCCGCGUUAGCGCUCCGGGUUUUAAGAUGCCCGAGAGGAGGGAGGAGGUGGCAGCGGGGGACUCGCACACAUCUGGCCUCCGGUUGGUUCCCUCCCUCCUCCCAAACCCCUGGAUUAAAAAUCGGAGGGAAGAGGAGGAGGGGGAAGACGGCACAUUAACUUGAAGAAGACCAGCUGUUUGUAAGGAAAGGAUGGCUUGGAUGAAAGAAUAUGGAAGGAAUUACGCUCACUUGCAGGAUGAGGAAAUGCAGGUAAGUGGUGUCUGCUGACUUCACAGUGGGAACCUGUGGUAGGUAAAUAAACAAGACUGAAUAAGCCUUCCGCAGCUAUGUUUGUAUGAAAGUGGUUUUAGAUAAGCCUCUGCUCCUUCAUCCUUUUCCAGACUCCCCUCCUCCACAUUUCCCACACAUUCCCUGUUUCCUGGCUGCAAACAUCCCAUCUCUCUGCCCCCUCAUCUCCUUCUUUUCCUGACUCACCCUUCACAGUCUCCCAGCAAAGCCCAAUAUCCUCUUGUCUGUCAAAGCCAGCCCCAGACAAUCAUCAUGAUGUCCCAGAUUCAAGGAAGGAGCCAGUGCCCUAUGGUCAGCUUCCAAGGGCACAGAACUAAAAUGCUAGACAUUCAGUGCGGGUUUGCUGUGAGGGCAGUUGACCUGACCCAGGGCUUCAGAUAGGAACACAUCUUCCAAGGAUGAUCUGUUUCAGAUCCUGGCAUUGUUCAAAUGCCAACAAGGUAAGGAAUGGAGAUGUCUUCUGUUCCAACACCUCUAUUUUUUGCUCCUCAAUUUUUUUUUCUGAAUUUUAAAAAAUUUAUAAUAAAGUUAAAUGGAAAAGCAAUGAAUCCAUGGAUUCAACUAGAUUAACAGUUGUUAGCAUUUGCUUUCCUUUUCUAUCCUCUUUUCUUCUUUCAUACUUGAGAUUGUCUAUUCUCUAUCUAUCUGUUUAUCUAUCUAAAGUUGGGGAGGAAAAAUUUUUCCUCUACUCUUCUUGAUUCUUUGGUUGGUCUAAUAAUCAAAUCAAUGUAAGACAGAUUAACAGGAGGAAAAUGAAUUUAAUUAUAUACACAUGGGACCCCCCAUAAGAAUCUGAGACCUGAGGGCAAGAGUGGUUGUAAGCUUAGAUGCCACCCUGAGAUAAGUAAUGGGAUAGGGGCCUGGGACUUCAAAGGGGAGGGGGUAAGUUUCAGGACAGCAAGAAGAGCAGAUGUUUGGCAAUUAGGUGGUUGCCCUGCCAAACAAAUGGGUUUCCCAGGUGGUACUAGUGGUACAGAACCCUCCUGGCAGUGCUGGAGACAUAAGAGAUGCAGGUUCGAUCCCUGGGUCAGAAAGAUCCCCUGGGGGUGGGCAUGGCAACCCACUCCAGUAUUCUUCCCUGAGAAUCUCACAGACAGAGGAGCCUGGUGGGAUACAGUCCAUAGGGUCACAAAGAAUCAGACACAACUGAAACGACUUUAGCAUGCACACAUGCUGGACAGAUAGGUCAUUUAGAUGAAAGUUAUCUCUGGUAAUAGCUGUCUCUGAGCCAGGCCUUCUAUCUAAAUUCUUUUAGGCAGUUAAGGGGAGGUAAAAAGUUCUUCCUUCGUCUUUUGGGUAUCCAUUAUCUUCAGCUCAGAAUAAUUCGCAUGGUGAAAUGGCGCAUUUCGGGGAGGCUUGUUCUGAACCCCUUCACUAUCCACAUACACAUACAUGGUAAACCUUUUGAAAGUUAAUUGAAGACAACUUGAUACUUCACUGCAAACACUUCAUCAUGCUUUUUCAAAAGGUUAAAGACAUUUUCUUAUAAAACACAAUCUCAUUAUCACAUCCACAAAAUCUAAAAUUAGUGAAAUAUUAUUAUCUGAAAGUCCCAAGUUUUCCAAUUGCCCCAGAAAUAUCUUUAAAAGUCUUUCCCAUUCCAUGCCCCUCACCUUCAACCCAAUCAAGGAUCAGCUGUUGCAUUGUUUUGCACUGGUUUGUCACAGCUCUUUGGUUUCCUUUCAUUUAGAACAGUCUCCUCACCUGUUGUUCUUGUUUGUCUUUCACAACAUUGACAUUUUUAGAGAGUCCAGACCAGUUGUCCUUUUGAAUGGCUUAAACCUGGACUUGCCAAAGUGUUUCCUUGAGAUCAGGCACUCUGGAUAAAUAUUUUUGGCAAGAACAUAACAUGGAUAUUUCAGGGAUUUCCCAUUGCAAGUCCUCAGGAGGUGUAUAUCAAUUUGCUCUGUUAUUGGUGAUGCUAAUUUUGACGGCUUAGUUUUGGUGGUGCCCAUCAGAUAGUUCUGUUGUAAAGGUACUUUUUACCCUUUGUCAGUAAUGAAGAAUAAAAGAGAAGUAAUACUCUGAGACCAAGAAAUAUCCUGUUCUCCAAACAUUUUACCCAGUGGCUUAGCAACUAUUGAUAAUCUUUGCCCAAAGCAUUUAUUAUUUCAUCAGUGGUUGGAAAAUGGUAAUCUUCUGAUUAUUUCAUUCCUUCUACACUUAUUAUCUAUCAUUUAUUUGUUGGAAAAAAAGCAUCCCAUCCCACCUUUUAAAAAUGUGUAACUCUGAGUUCUAGAUUCCUUUUCCUUUUGUUCAAUGUUGUAAUCCUUUAUUAUCACCGUUUUUAAUGUUCAGAUUUGGUCCAUAGAGCCAUUAUCUUUAAUAUUUGAUUAUUCAUAUUGACUUCUAAGAUUAUUAUUCUAGGGCAAACAGUUUUCUGUUGCUUUGUAUUUUGUUUUUGUUUUUUUGGAGUAGGGUUUGGGAUUAGAUUCUGGACCAGAAAUUUGAAGCUCUAAUUAGGAUUCCAUGUUCUGAGAUGUGUAGCCAUUUGAAGAAUUUCUAGUUGGCUUAAACCACAUGUGCUCAUGAAAUAUGAAUCAGAAAAAAAGAAACUAAUUUAUUUAGUCAGAAAAGAUGAAGUCAUAGAGGGGUCACCAGAAACCACCAUUUUCAUUACACCAUGAAAUUAUCUGGACAUGGAACAACAGACUGGUUCCAAAUAGGAAAAGGAGUAUGUCAAGGCUGUAUAUUGUCACCCUGCUUAUUUAACUUCUAUGCAGAGUACAUCAUGAAACACUGGACGGAAGAAACACAAGCUGGGAUCAAGAUUGCCAGGAGAAAUAUCAAUAACCUCAGAUAUGCAGAUGACACCACCCUAUGGCAGAAAGUGAAGAGGAACUAAAAGC